AGCAGCCGCGGUAAUUCCAGCUCCAAUAGCGUAUAUUAAAGUUGUUGCAGUUAAAAAGCUCGUAGUUGAACCUUGGGCCUGGCUGGCCGGUCCGCCUCACCGCGUGUACUGGUCCGGCCGGGCCUUUCCUUCUGGGGAACCUCAUGCCCUUCACUGGGCGUGUUGGGGAACCAGGACUUUUACUUUGAAAAAAUUAGGGUGUUCAAAGCAGGCCUUUGCUCGAAUACAUUAGCAUGGAAUAAUAGAAUAGGACGUGUGGUUCUAUUUUGUUGGUUUCUAGGACCGCCGUAAUGAUUAAUAGGGAUAGUCGGGGGCAUCAGUAGUCAAUCGUCAGAGGUGAAAUUCUUGGAUUGAUUGAAGACUAACUACUGCGAAAGCAUUUGCCAAGGAUGUUUUCAUUAAUCAGUGAACGAAAGUUAGGGGAUCGAAGACGAUCAGAUACCGUCGUAGUCUUAACCAUAAACUAUGCCGACUAGGGAUCGGACGGUGUUAGUAUUUUGACCCGUUCG
rnacentral:rRNA from 1 species